AAAAUGUGCGAAAGCAAACUGAUGUACCGGCAAAGUGAAGACAACAGCCUCACGCCCACGGCUACCACGGCUAUGACCAGCCGGACCACAAGGAGCAGCUCCCGAACUAUUACCAACACGAGCACCAGCAUCACUACUUUAACCGCCACGAACCCUUUGCGCAGCUGAAUCUGGACCACCAAUUCAACAACCGCAACCACGGUAACUAUUCUAAUUACGACACUAAUCAUCAGAUGAGCUUCGAACCUAAUGAACCAUUUGGUGGAGGAGAAGGAGAAGGAGGUGGAGAUGGAGAAUUCUGCUCCAACGCCUGCAAAAGAGGACGAUAUCAUGCUGGCCGAUCAGGUUCACCUGAUCUCCCCUUUGUUUGAAGAAUAUGGAAAUGUAUUUGAGGUAAUUUUCCCUAGGGAUAAGUGGACUGGCCAACAACAAGGUAUUGCUUUGUGAAAUAUGCAAAAAUAGAGGAAGCUGACAGGGCUAUUAGGACUUUAAAUGGUCAAUAUACUGUUCCCGGGGAGGCAGUUCCCAUUAAGGUCCGAUAGCAACGGGGACGUCUUGGUAAGGGAGAAAGGGAACACCCAGGUAAGUAUCUGCUAUUCACAAAUGUGCUUUUCUGCAGGCCUUUUUAUGUAACUUCUUGCUAUCAUAGUCUGUAGCUCACCUAGGUAAGUACUUCUGCCAUAUGCAAUUUUAUUAUUUGUAUUAUAUGUAUCAAGUAAUCUGCCCAACAGCCCAAUUCAUGCCAUUUUUCUGAGGAUCUGAGUAGUUGUUGUAGAAAUAUGUACCUCAACCAAAUAAUAGUGUCACUUUUAGGAUCUAUGUAUUUUCUUAUUUAGCUUUGAUGCCCUGCUCCUUAAUGAUCAGGAAAGGUUGAUACAUUUUGAAUUUGGCCAAUGAACAUCUUAUGGUGCCUGUAGUAAGGGGGAAAAUAUGGAAUGACUAACUAAGAAUCACUUAAAUGAAAUUUUUUAGGUAGCAACAUGUGACUAAUAUGUUAUCAGUCAGCAGCUAAUUUUUUAUGAGGGUUUCUUUGCAUUCUGUCAUAUUUUAUUUAAAGUGAAAAAUGGAUGUCUAUUUUUCUGCUUUUGGGUUUCCAUAAAUAAUAAGAUUCCUCUUGCUGAUUGGAACACUCUGUAUUUGUUAGCCAACAUGUCUCUGGGCCAUUGCUCAUCUGUGUACCUAAAGCCUUGGUAAUUUUUUCUUACUCCCUCUAGUGUCAUUUUUUUUUUUUGUUUUCAUUGCCUAUUAACUAUAUCUUCAUUGUGCUAUUUAGGGGUGAGCACUAUUUAGUUUGAACCGAAUAAAUCGAAUCGAAUUGACUUAAUUCGGUAAUUUGGUUCAGUUUUUAAGAUAAUUCGGUUCGGUUUUACAUUUUAAGAAUUUUGGUUUGAUUCGGUUUUGGAGAGAAAAAAUCGGUUGAACAAAACUAAACCGAACCGAAUCGCUUUAUUGAUUUUUAAAUUGAUUUAUUUUUAUAGGGAAUUUAUGAAUUUUGUAUAAUUUUAUAUAUAUAAAUUGUUUAAUUUCAUUAAUUAAUGGUUAUUAGGUCCAAACCAAGAUCAAAAUUAGACCAAAUAACUUGAAAAUCAAGUCUAAAUUAAAAAACCCAUCAAAACUAAAAAACUGAUCGGUUCGAACAGAAUCGAAUCGAAAUAGAGCGGUUUAGUUCGAUUUUUUAUUCAUUUCGAUUCAGUUUGGUUUAUAAAAUAUGGUAAUUCGGUUAAUUUGAUUUUGAUAAUUCGGUUUGGUUCGGUUCGAUUUGAACCAAAUGCUCAGCCCUAGUGCUAUGAUAGGGAGAAUGGAGUUUGUGGACAAACUCUAUGUUGCUUCCAUUAACAAACAAGCUUCAAAACAGGAAAUUGAGGAAGGAUGAGUCACAUUUAAUGAGUAUUGAAAUUUAUUCUAUCCUAGCUCAACAAAAUAGAUUUGAGAUUCACCAUUUCUGGUAUAUUUUUGGGUGUAUGAUAAUAUGCAUGGGUUAUGAAUGCAAACUGCAAAAAGAAAUUAGACGAAAUUAGAGUAUGUUAGGAUGGAAUCAGCAGUAAAAUCUGUUAAGUUGAAGGCUAUGGCUUGGAUGCUGUUGUCUAUGAUUAAAUUCAUUGCAUAGGUAACAGUACUUGCAUGCACUAUACAAUGCAACAGCAAGUGGGUGUAUUUACUUGAGCACAUAUGCCAUGUAAAUGUACAUCUUUUACUUGACUUUAUGUACAGAUAAUGUUUCCCAAAAUCAACUCUAUGUUUCAUAUAUUUUCUUUUUUUAGGAUUUCGGUUUAUGUACGAAUGUUUUCCAUGUUAGAUAUUUUCUCCAUAUGGUCAUGUGGAAGAUGCCUACAUUGCUUAAGAUACUGAAGCAAAGUCAUGGUAUGUCCAUCUUCCUUAUUAAUUACUUACUUCUUUAGCUGCAAAUAUCUGUGAUUAUUGACAUAAUGGAAUUUAAUUUGUCUAUGGUCUUUAUUUUAGACACAAUGCUGUGCAUUUCACCUAGAUAGAUCCUGGUCUUUAGUCCCAUAUGAUUAUCAUAGUUUCUUUUGAUGGUCUCUUCAUGCAUCAUCACGGAAUGAGCAACAUAACGAACAAAAAAGCAAAGGCAUCAAAACUGUUCAAUGAUACAUGCAAUUGUUUAGCGAACUUUAUUGUUGCACCAAUUGUUUUGUCUGGAACUUCCAUUUUAGUGCAGAAAUAAUGUUAUCCACCUGUCUUCUUCUGUUUUGGUGGCCUAGUUAUGUUUGAUUCUGUAUCUGAAUAUAAACACGUUUCUAUUAACUGGCAAAUUGUGCAUUCUGGUGGGCUUUUAUGAAGGAUGCACAUUUAUUAAAUUUUCUUACAGAGAUAUGGCAGUGGCGGCAAUGAAAGCAUCAAAUGGAACUUUCACAGUGAAAUUAAAGUGUAUCUUCUAUUUUUAUCUGUAUCUUGUAUCUUCUAUUUUUAUGUGUAUCUUUAUGAUUUUACUUUUGGAUUGUAUUUUCUCAUCCUCUCUGUUCUUCUGAUCAUUUCCAGGGUUGUGAUGAGCCUGUAAUUGUUCGUUUUGCGGAUCCCAUAAAACGUAGGACUAGAGAAUUAAGGGGAAAUUAUGCAUUUGGUGGACAAAAUUUUUGGUCCAUGUUUUCAUGAACCAAUGAUUAGGCCGACACCCAAUUUCCGCGAUUCCAUGGGAGGGUGUAUUUUUGCCUAAUGCUUCGUACUCUAUGCAUGAAAUUUCCCAAAAUUUGCAACCACAAACUGUUUCCUAUGCAGUUGAACUGACACUUUGAGCUCCUCAUAUCACAGAACAAUCACUGCCUCCAGUAAAGCAGCCACCAACACAGUUUUUUUUUUUUUUUUUUUUUUUGAUAAACAGCCACCAACACAGUUGUGUCAGAUGACAUCACAACAAACACAAGUUCCACAGAAAUUUUUGCAAUCAUCUCAACAAGCAGUCUCAGACAUGCUGAAAGAGGCUCAAAAUUUAGAGCAGCAGCAGAGUGUACAGAUUACCCCUGAGGACCUGCAUCAUGUGCAAAUAAAGUCAGAAACUAGUCCAUUUGAUCCCACCUUAGUUUAACAGGAGGGAGGCGCAUAGUAUUUAAAGCUUUUAAGGGUAAAUUAUAGAAACCCCCUGGAUAGUUGGAGUUAGCAGGCAUCUGCAGUAGUAAUUUGCCUUAUUUUUAUAGAGUAUGUAAACUGAAGUUUAGCGCUUGUAAAAUUGAAGGUUCAGUUGUUGGAUUGUGCUUUGGAUGAUGCAAUGUGAUGAAAUGAGUUGACGGUACAGGUCCUGUUGUGUUGCUGUCACAAAAAGGGUUGAUGGUGAAGUUUCUAUUUGCGUUUGCUUUUAAGGUUUUGAUUGUUUAGAACUCUUUGUAAGGUUAAUAUGAAGCCUAGUUUCUUAUAA